UACCUUCACGGUCCUAAAGUAUUUGAGU
rnacentral:sRNA from 1 species